rnacentral:rRNA from 1 species
ACGUAGGGUGCAGGCGUUAAUCGGAAUUACUGGGCGUAAAGGGCGCGUAGGCGGCACGGCAAGUCAGGAGUGAAAGCCCUGGGCUCAACCCGGGAACUGCUUUUGAAACUGCCGAGCUAGAGUGCGGAAGGGGCAGCUGGAAUUCCCAGUGUAGCGGUGAAAUGCGUAGAUAUUGGGAAGAACACCUGAGGCGAAGGCGGGUUGCUGGGCCGACACUGUCGCUGAGGCGCGAAAGCCAGGGGAGCGAACGGGA